rnacentral:rRNA from 1 species
GGUUCAGGACGAACGCUGGCGGCGUGCCUAAUACAUGCAAGUCGAACGGUCUUUUCUAUGGAAGCUUGCUUCCACUGAGAAGAUAGUGGCGAACGGGUGAGUAACACGUGGGUAACCUGCCCAUAAGAGGGGGAUAACAUCCGGAAACGGGUGCUAAUACCGCAUAGUUUUCUUGAUCGCAUGAUUGAGAAAGGAAAGACGGCCUUUGUGCUGUCGCUUAUGGAUGGACCCGCGGCGUAUUAGUUAGUUGGUGAGGUAACGGCUCACCAAGACGAUGAUACGUAGCCGACCUGAGAGGGUGAUCGGCCACAUUGGGACUGAGACACGGCCCAAACUCCUACGGGAGGCAGCAGUAGGGAAUCUUCCGCAAUGGACGAAAGUCUGACGGAGCAACGCCGCGUGAGUUGAAGAAGGUUUUCGGAUCGUAAAACUCCGUUGUCAGAGAAGAACAAGUUGGAGAGUAACUGCUCCAGCCUUGACGGUAUCUGACCAGAAAGCCACGGCUAACUACGUGCCAGCCGCCGC